UACGUAGGGGGCUAGCGUUGUCCGGAUUUAUUGGGCGUAAAGAGCGUGUAGGCGGCCAGAUAGGUCUGCUGUGAAAACUCGAGGCUCAACCUCGAGAUGUCGGCGGAAACCAUUUGGCUAGAGUCCGGAAGAGGAAAGUGGAAUUCCUGGUGUAGCGGUGAAAUGCGCAGAUAUCAGGAAGAACACCCGUGGCGAAGGCGGGAUCCUGGGCCAGUACUGACGCUGAGGAGCGAAAGCGUGGGGAGCAAACAGG
rnacentral:rRNA from 1 species